AGACUAGAGGAGCGCUGUAAGCGCCAUGGCUCCCAAGAAGCUGUCCUGCCUUCGUUCCCUGCUGCUGCCGCUCAGCCUGACGCUACUGCUGCCCCAGGCAGACACUCGGUCGUUCGUAGUGGAUAGGGGUCAUGACCGGUUUCUCCUAGACGGGGCCCCGUUCCGCUAUGUGUCUGGCAGCCUGCACUACUUUCGGGUACCGCGGGUGCUUUGGGGCGACCGGCUUUUGAAGAUGCGAUGGAGCGGCCUCAACGCCAUACAGUUGUAAGAAGUGCUCGCAAGAGCCGCGGAGGGAUGGGAUCUACUUUUUCUACCGCCCCCUUAUAAAGAAGGUCGGGACAGGAAGACUGCCAGGACUCCUAGGCCAAGGGUGGGAAAGGGCAGGCCAGGACCUCCUUCCAACCGCUUCCUGGAGAUUCCCUGCAAGGCCUGAGCCGUUAGGCCUCCCUGGCGUCUCUCCACCUUGGGCCUUAUUAACCUCUUCCUUUCUCAGUUAUGUGCCCUGGAACUACCACGAGCCACAGCCUGGGGUCUAUAACUUUAAUGGCAGCCGGGACCUCAUUGCCUUU
rnacentral:sRNA from 1 species